GUCGCUACAAUGUUGCGAGUUGAACGGAUUCUUUCACAGCGUUAACGCGGGUUCGAAUCCCGCCGGGGACACCA
rnacentral:tRNA from 1 species